AGCGGGGCGCAUCGAGCGUUCGCGCGAUUCCACUGGCAGAGCUUGUGCCAGUAAGUGAAUUGCAUUCUGUUCCUCGCGGUGUUUUCGAGCUGGCGCGCAAGCCCUCGGUUCCGCGAUCGAUCUCUCGCAGUCCCGAAUAGAUCGUCGCCGACGAUAGUUUUCUUUUCGAGGAUACCGCGCGAGGUGUUCGGAGCAAGCUCGAAAAAUCGAUACUUUAUAUAGCGAUUCGCGAGCGAACGGCUUUAAAAAUCGAUUGUCGAUUUUAUCAUUUUGUCGAUAAGGAUACUUCUCUGGGAUCUUCGUCUUGCGUGUUGCAGAUUGUUGGAAGAAAUUUAAACGUUUCCGUCAACAUAUGACUCAAUUUGCCACACAACUGAAUUUUACCACUUUGACUGUUAUGAUUACUCAACGAGCAAUAAAAAGUAAUAUCGCUCGUAAUGUCACGUGAAAUGGCACAUGCAGCGUAUUCAAUCCAGAACGAGUAUAUAUGUAAAUGAGACUUCAUUCAAUGAAAUACCACUUGGUUGAAUGAAUUAUGCUUUUAAGGAAAAAUGUUAAAAAAUGUCACCUUCGAGCCGAAAGAAGAGGUGAAAUUUGGGAAUUUGUCUAACGAUACUUUAUGCCCAAGAGAGGUUCGGCGAAAACAGUCAAAAUUCCAAGACAACAGAAAAUAUAUCAGACAAAAUCAAAUCGCAAUACAAAUUGACUAAUCAAUAAACACAAAUUGAUAAACAUAACUGACAACUAUAAAACAUACAAACAUACCUAGUGGUUUAAAUAUAAACAUUCGUCCAACAUUCGCAUUACAAUACAUUACAAUAAUGAAAUUUGAGAGGAUUUCGGGAUGGAUAUACAGGGUGUCCACGAAAAUUGUUGAUGGAAGUUUACCCGAACGCGAAAAAGCUAAAAUUGUCCUUCGACGAGCAGGCAGUCGUAGGUAACGAUUACGGUAAGAUGAGUUACGUAAAGUAAGGAUGAACUGGAACACGAGUUUAAGGCCAAGUGCUUUUAUUAGAGCAUGACGAUAAUGCGUAUAAAAUCGAAUUGAAUGACAACCACCUCAUAAAUUUACCGAUCUGAUUAAACAAGCAGGAACGUUUAUGACAUAACUUUGUGACAUAAAUUAUAAUUAUCUACAAUAAUCUAAUCCUUAUGUAUCUAGUAAGUUCAAUAUAAAAGUAAUAUUCAUUUGGUAGUGACAAUGAAUGUACACACAAAAUAUACUCGCACUGUAACGCACAUGCUAUAGUUUUCAUUAUACAGAAAAUCAUGUAAAACAAUUUUUCUCUUUUUUCAGUUAUGAAACCAUUUACGAAUUUAUUAGCCAUACACACUUUACUGUGACUAUUGACUAUAUACACAUAUACAUUUGUAUAGGGUACAUAAACAUUCAGAAAACAACUGGAAUGCAUUCUAACUAGUUUCUUAUCAAUAGACUGCGGAUUAUAGGCAUUUACGAUAUAAACUAAUAUCAUAGACAUAUGAAAAUAUAGACGGAGGAUAAACUGCUACUAUAGGUAAGGGGGGUCUGAUAUUCGGGGUGUGGAAUCCACCCGUCUAACGUCGAUUUAUUCCGACAAGACUCGGCAGUAUUUGGCUCACAUUUCACAUGAUGUACACAUGCCGUACUGCGAGUGUGUCAAAGAAAGACAUAUGAAGAUAUACAGGGUGUCCCAAAAAUGUUGGAUGUCCUUGAAGGGUGUGGUUCGGGAGGUAAUUUGAAACAAUUUUUUCCUUAGCGAAAAUGUUGUCCGAGGCUUCGUUGAGGAGAUAUUAACAGGAAACCCCGACCAAUCAGAGCGCGAGGAUGCCGGUAGGCGGUAAUUUGAAACAAAAAAUUGUUUCAAAUUACCUCCCGAACCACACCCUUCAAGGACAUCCAACAUCUUUGGGACACCCUGUAGAUCGAGCCUUUAUACGAACUGAAGUUUAUUAUGGUAAAAUAUUACUAAAACACCAGAAGGUCUAGUGAACAGGAAAUGAACGAAUGAGGAACAAGGGAAGUAAAUUUCAAACUUGAUGGUAUAGUGUUCACGAAGGUAAAGAAAAUAUGGUAGAUAAAUAAAAGACGAGUUUGGAGAAGACACGCGCUCGUCACGAUGAAAUAGGCUCGUUGAGUAUCGAGCACAUUGCAAGUCGAUUCAAGCACGGAAAUUUUAAACCACGGAGUAACAACCUGUCACUCACCGUCUACGAAUUACGAAGAUAUAUUUAUCUACCGUCUACGAAUUACGAAGAUAUAUUUAUCUAUCUUCUACUUCUUCUAUAUAAAUAAAAUUGAAGUCUCUGUCUGUGAUUUCUAAAUAAUGACUUUUUAAAACUCUUAUAUGACUUUUCGUAUCUUGCUAAAACCCAAACACGCUUUCGCAAAAUUGUUGUAUCUUUAUCUUUAUUCGAUGACUGUCGGAUAAAAUAAAUGUAUUCGAAGUAAAUGUACUCGAAGGAUAAAGGUAACUUAAAUUAUCUUUAUCCGAAGGCUAAAGAUACCUGCUUUAUCUGCAGAGAGUUUCACCCGUAAGAUACUUUUCCGCAUUUGUAUCUUUAUCCGACGCACAGUGCGGAAUAAGUGGACAAAAUUCAAUAUUAGUAUAUAUCACAAUGUGAGGCAGAUUUCUAUCGUAGAAAAUGUGUGUCAGCGUGAAAAUUGUUAUAAAUAAUCAUGUAUCAAUCAUUUGUAUCCAUAAUACAAUCUUUAUCUUUAAACAAACAUACAGACAAAACGACAAAAAAUAUCCUGAGUUCUCAACAUAUUUGGAUUCGAUAUUUGUUAUAUUUUAAGAAACGUAUAAGUUUUUUUGCAAAUACUUGCAACGUUCGGUUUUAUGUAACUUUUAAUAAAGGACCGUACGGUUGGUGUAGGGUUGCAAUUGGAAGUUAGAAAUUCUGAUUUAAUUGAUUUAUGGAUUUCUAUAAAAAUUAUUUUUCACAUCCUCAGCCAAAAGGAAGCAUAGUGUGUUAAAUAACAUAUGGGUGCAACUUCUAUUAUUUAUGAGAAAAAAAUUCCUAAAGAAUUCGAAAUAUAGUCUACUAAAGCGACAAUUUUACAAUAUUACAUCAUUUUCCUGUAUGAUAAUCAUAAACUCAUACAUACCGUUGGAUUCGGAAUAAGAAAACCCUUUUACUGAUCCAGAAAUAAAUCAAAAUUUUCAGAAAUUUCAAGGGGGGGUGGGGAGUAAUUAAAAAAAAAUUGUUUUUUUUUAAAUUUGUUGGUAUUGAUUUAUAGACCUCUAAAAACAGUGUAAUGUUUGCUUGAACAUUUUUUUUGAAAUCUCUAAUCGUUUCCGAGCAAAAGUAAAAGGGGCGGCUCGGAUAAAAGGGUUAAUUUCUCCCUUAGACGCAAAAUUCGCACGUACUGAGAAUGGUGUAAUUCAUAAGAAGAUCCCACAAACAAGUAUACAAAGUUUCAUCAAAAUCGGGGUUUGUUAAUAUUUGGUUAAAUUUGUUAAUUUUGUUGUGGUUUUUAUUAAUGUUUAUGGUUAAUUUUAAUUUUCUUUUGUGAAUAAAUAGCAAUAUAUUUAUAUUAGUAAUGAAAUUUUGAUUUUUAUCCACGAUUUUGGUAUUUGUCCGCACUGUGCGACGGCUAGAAGUACCUGGUUUCUCACCAGAGAAUUUCACCCGUAGGUUAUUUUCCCAUUUUUAUCUUUAACUCUUUGCAUAAAAUAGACCCAUACUGCACAGGAAUUUUAUUGCGUUUUAAAUCAUACAAAAUUGUUAUAUUUUUAUUAAUAAAGGUAUCACAUAAUGUAACAAAAUAAAUAUAAUAACAAGGGUCAUCACAUUUAUAGUUUUAAGAAUAUUAAAACAUAAACAAUAAAUAAAAAUGUGUUUUUUUUGUAUUACUCCCCAAGUUGCAUGGUGGGACGAAUAAAAUCCCACCAUACUUUCAUCAUUUGCAAACAAAUUUAAUCUUUAGUUUUUAUUAUAAAACACCUCACUUGUUUAUAUAGAACUAAUUUUUAUAUAAAUUAACUUACCUCUACGAUUUGUCACAUAGAACCAGGAAAGAAAUAUUAUCGCAAUAAACCUUCCGCUUACAACAAUUGUUGAACCGGUAUUAGCAUGUUGAAAGUUGCCAACAUAAGUGCAUAUAUUUGUAACAUUGGAUGAAUAUAUUACCAACUGCUUAACGUAAAUAAGACGAAAUAUAAACCUAUACACAUGCAGCUAUUGCAAAAUUUCGAGGUGGGAUUGAAAAUGUCCCACGAUGCAUUACGGUCCAUCAAAAAGGUGGGACACUUUUGGUCCCAACGUGCCCCAAAGAGUUAACCGAAGUUUCACCCGUUGUGUGGGAUAACUUUCGUACUUUCAUCUUUAUCCGAAGUUUAUGGGAUAAGGGUCGGAUAACUUUUCAAGCGGUGUUUAGUCGGCGGUUGUAAUGUAUAAUUAUACAUAAUUAUACAUACGUAAAUAGGUAUAAUACAAAUAAAUUUAUAUAGGCGUAAGGAAGUGUAUAUUUGUGCAUAUAGAUGUGUACUGUAAAGAUUUUAUACUGUAAACUUUGAAAGUUUGCAUGAUAUAUACAAGUCCGUUUCAUUCUGUGAGUCGUCUAAAAAAAAUAUCAACAAAAAAUGUUGUAUAUUCCUAAGUUUUAUAAUAUGAUAUUAUAAUAUGAUUCGGAACAUUACAACCGCCGACUAAACACCGCUUGAAAAGUUAUCCGACCCUUAUCCGAUAAUUUCGGAUAAAGAUAAAAGUACGAAAGUUAUCCCACGCGACGAGUGAGACUUCAGUUAAAGAUAAAAGUGCGAAAAUAACCUACGGGUGAAUAUCUCUGGAGAGAAACUAGGUAACUCUAGCCGUCGAAUAAGGAUACAAAUGCGGAAAAGUGUCUUAGGGUUGAAACUCUCGGGGAGAAACCAGGUAUCUCUAGCGAUCGGUUAAAGUUAAAAAUGGGAAAACUACCCAACGAGUGAAACUCUCUGCAGUUAACGCAGGUAUCUUUACUCGUCGGAUAAAGUUAAAAGUGCGAAAAGUAUCUUACGAUUGAAACUUUCUGCAGAUAAAGCAGGUAUCUUUAGUCUUCGAAUAAAAAUAAUUUAAGUUAUCUUUAUCCUUUGAGUACAUUUACUUCAAAUACAUUUUUUUAUCCGGCAGUCAUCGAAUAAAGAUAAAGUUAUAUAGCUUUAUUCGAUUUUCUAUUUAAAUAAUUUUUUUAUCUAAAUAAUGCUCCACUCUGGUAUACGAACGUGUAGAUCGCUUACUGCUUAGUGGUGGGAAAUACAAACUGCUUCAAAUUAUAACUUCUUAUAAUUUUUCUUAUGAACUUAUACAUAGGAUGUAUAAAUUAGUUCUAAAUUUACAAAUUAAAAAAAGAAUUGUACAUGUAUGAUGUCUGUAAAAAAAGAAUGUACUAAUUUACUUGAAAUAUUCAUCAUAAUUGUACUCGCUAAAUUACGAAUUAAAUAGUACGCAAAAAGUUAAAAAUGAAACAUAAAGGAGCAUUUUAACGCUUACAAUUAGUGAACAUUAGUUCUUAAAAGUUCUUACUUAUAAUUCUAUUAUCUUCUUACUAAAUGUUCGCGUCACCCACAUGAAGCAAAGUAUACAAACUGAAAUAUAUUUAGGUCAUGCAUAUGAUAUUGUCAUUUAAAUAUAUAAUUUUACUGAUAUCAAGAAUAAUAGUAAGAAUUCUGAAUAGCCGGCGAUAGCACGAGUUACCGCACUGCGUGACAUUAAAUCCUAGUCUCGCCACUGCGUAACCUUAUCCGGUAGAUUAAGUAAUGGUCCAGAUACAACUCGGUGUUUGUUUACAUUAGACGUAACCGUUUAUAAGUCGCGUAGAAACUAAAUAUGUCAUGAGUUUCGUCAUAGACUUGUAUCUUCGGUAUUACGCUCGCAAUAUUCAGAUAUGCAUCUGAUGCUUGACGAAUAGAGUACUGAUCGAUAUCCUAAUCGUGUUACGACAAAUUACAAAAGCGUUUGAUGUGCGUAGAUCAACGUGAUAUGUGAACAGUCGACGAUUGAAACCGAAUAUUACGGAUAGAAAUAAAAAUGAAAAAAACCGUACUAAGGAUCGUUAUUGAAAAUGGAGUAGAACGAAAUAUGAAGAUUAAAAGAUGAUGAAAUUAAAACGUUCUACGACUAACUUUCGUACGCAGUCCCAUCCACGCUUUUCAUAUAAAACAGGCCAUGCUGACAUCUCCCGUGAAAUGUGUAAUUGUUUUAUCGUAAAAGGUUAACAAAGAAAGAAAUCAUCACUGAGCGAGUGAGAAAUCCUUGUCGAGUGAUGCUGACAAAGAAAGAAAACAUAAUUGAGCGAGUGAGAACUUGUGACGGAGAACAACUCCGGGCUGACACAGGGCCGCUUCGGUGCUCCCUGGCCCUAAGGGACUGCGUAACUUUUUAAGGGUGCGCAGGACCCAGAGCCAAACUCCGAGUUGACUUCAGCGACAGUUGCGGAAAAAGUAGGAAGCUCCGGAACAAGGAUAGAUAGAUCCUUGUCUCUCCAACGAUGCUGUGACAGAGAGGGAGAUAUAACAAACGGAGGAGAGACAAAGACAGAAUGAUGUCAAACAUUUGUAAUUUUGCAAACAGUUAUUUACAUUUUAUGAAGCGAGGAAGCGACCUUUCCAGCUGAUUUUUUUUUAAAAAGUUCCUUGUAAAAUUCCGCUGUGGGCGAUACUGCCAGAUUUUGCAAUUCGCUUUUGAAACGUGCUAAAAAUACGUUUAAAGACAAGAAAUUUCUUGUGGACCUUUUUCCAAAAAUCUGAAGCGAAUGAUACCCAGUUUUGGGGACAGACGAUUUAUAGUUAACGAGAUAUUCAACAUUGAAGUUAUUAUUGCUGCUUACUUGAUGAAUUAUAAGCGGCUGUGUCAAUAGGGAAUUUGGUGUUUUUGGUAAAUCGUCAGCAAAAUAAUUCCUUUGUCGCGAGUUCGAGUCCCGUUGAAAUACUCUUACACUAUUCUUUUUUUUUCACUUUCUUUUAAAAAUACAGUUGUUAAAUAUGACUUAUUUAUAUCUAAUGGUUGGAUAUAUUUUUUAAAACAAACAAUUUAAUUUCCAUUUUGAAUGUAUGACGUACAUGAACUUGGGUGAUACUUUUCGAAAUAGCAAUGGAAACAAAAAUUUUAAUCACCAUGUACAUCGAAUGAAUGCUUUAGAUUCACAACUGCAAAAUUGUUUACUUAAUUCUACCGGGAAUACUGCUUGAUUUACGUUAAUGAAAUGUAAUCGAUUUUCUUAUAGCUAUGAUGCGUACCAAUCAUAUCUAUGUAGAAUAGAGAUAAAUAUAUUGAAAUUCAUUAUACAAAUAGAAAUAAGUACAGUACAUAUUCGACACGUGAAACUUCUUUAACGAUUUUCUCGAAAACUGCUAAUUGUAAGUAGUACGCCUUACUAUUUGCACAUUAUGUUGUCUUAAUAGACUACUAAAAGUGUACAAAGUUUGAAGAAAAUCUAUGAUCCGAACGUCGUGUCCUGCCCUUGUCAGUACCGGUCCAUGCGACCAAAGGCCACUGUUUGAGGUUACUGUUUCCAGUUUAAAAUAUGCGUUUAUUUUUAAUUUUUACCAUGUCAAAAACUGUAAAUCAUCGAUGGAAAGGAAAAAUUGUGAAAGAUAAAGUUUACUUAUCUUUGGAGUACACUAAAACAGGAAGCCGUUAAUUUAGUUGUUUAGAUGUCACAAAUGUUUACUAUUUCAUUCUUGAAAUUUCAUUUGCUCGCUAUGUCGUCACGUUUCUUCUACAAAUGACAUUCUGAUUUCGAUAAUAGCGUGAAUCUCACAUAUUUUUUGUUUUUUUUUAUAAACAAUUCUGUAUUCUGAAUACCAUUCAGUGCUGUCAUUGGGGAUAAAAUGUCAAACUGGAGUGCUAUGCAAUCAAUUCUGAAUCCUAUAAUAAUAUUCCGAUUAUUCUUAUAUUUACAUAAUGACUGAAGGAAGAAUGGAAACUCACAGGCCCUCCGUGUCUACUAUCAAUUACAUGCGACCUCUAUUAAAAUAACAAUGUAAAAAAAACCUCUUAAAGACAGAACCAGGUUAUAAUUUCACGAUACAGGUAAAACCGACCAAGCAGGAUUUUCCCACUCGUAACUUUUAAUCUCUUCAGAGACGAGUAUUUUAAAGUGAAAAAAAUUAAUUUAUUGUUUACAUUUGAUUUUAUUUGAUUUCUCUUCAGGGACAAAUUUUUUAAAGUGAAACAAAUUAAUUUAUUGUUUACAUUUGAUUUCGUUUUAUUCAUUUGAUACCGAUAGCAAUUCAGCAUGUAUACAAAAUUGGAGACUACGUAAUGGUUAUUGCAGCGUCAAUGUAAUCGACGUUACGAAAUAUAACAGUAAUCACGGGAACUUGUUGGAUCACGAUAUUCCAGGAUUACGAAAAGAGUUAGAUAAACUUUUGAAAAGACAUCAACGUACAAUUGUUAUCAGCACUGCUGCUCGGGGUAUCAAAAUUUUCCACUUUUAUUAAGGGUGCGCAAGAGCCAGAGCCAAACUCCGAGUUGACUUCAGCGUCAGUUGCGGAAAAAGUAGGAAACUCCGGGAUAAGGACAAAGAGGGCGAUACAAAAAUUG